GCUGAAGGAGAAGGAUCCACUGAGUUCUGCAGUUUCAGUGGCAGCAGCAGAUCCAAGUCUCCUUUAUCAUCAUUUCCUCAAAAAGUCUCUGUGAAAGCCCUCAAAAAUUCUAAAUCUAGGACAUUGACAACAUCGCCGACUUUAAAUUCAGAUUCUGAAAUUGGGUCUUCUUUGGACGACAAUAUGAUUAAUUCUUCCUCUUCGGAAUCUGAAGCCGAAUUUCAGGGAAACAACACAAAAUUGACAUUGUUUGAACCUCGACAAAGCCAAACCCAAAAAAAAAAGCAGCCCAUUAUAUCAGAUUCCAGUAGUUCUCCAGAUCAUGUAAUGGGAGAUACAGGUAACCCUCCGGGUGCGGGAAAACAUACACCUCCAAAGGACUUCGUUUGUCCCAUAACAAGCCAUCUGUUUGAUGAUCCAGUAACUCUUGAGACAGGGCAGACAUAUGAACGAAAGGCAAUUCAAGAAUGGCUUGAUAGAGGAAAUUCAACAUGCCCAAUUACUCGCCAGAAGUUGCAUAGCACCCAACUGCCUAAGACAAACUAUGUGCUCAAAAGGCUUGUUGCAAGUUGGCAGGAACAGAAUCCUAAUUUCAUAUCAAACCAAUCUGAAACUCCACAUCAGAAGACUGAACCGAGCUUUAAGUCAACAAUAAUGCCUCCAAUUACUUCUCCUAAUAGUGUCAUUAGCCAAGCCACCAUUGAUAGUACCAUGAGUGAGCUACGACAUGCCAUUACCAAUCUUUGUAUGUCAGAAAUUUUGAAUGAGUCUGAAAUGGCUGUCCUUCGAAUAGAGCAAUUCUGGCAAGAGGCCAAUAUGGACCCUGAUGUUCAAAGCAUGCUUUCAAAACCUCCUGUUAUUAAUGGAUUUGUAGAGAUCCUUUUCAAUUCAAUCGAUCCACAGGUGCUGAAAGCAACUAUUUUUCUCCUGUCUGAAUUAGGGUCAAGAGACAAAGGUGUGAUCCAGACACUUACACGAGUUGAAUCUGAUGUGGAAUGCAUCGUGGCUCUUUUCAAGAAGGGCUUAUUAGAAGCUGUUGUGUUGAUAUAUCUUUUAAGACCGUCUACCAUGAGCUUACUGGAGAUGGACAUGGUGGAAUCUCUCUUAACAGUCAUUAAGAAGAAAGAGGAUGUGAUUAAAAUGCGUUUGAAGCCAAAAACAGCUUCUGUGCUUCUACUGGGACAAAUCCUCUGUGGCAGUGAAGAAAGCACUGUUUUUUCAAUUGUCAAUGCUAUUGUUUCAACCAAAGUGAUUGAAAGUAUUUCUGGCAGCUUGGAAGCUGAUUGGGCAGAGGAGCGGAUUGCAGCAGUGGGGAUCUUAUUAAGAUGCAUGCAGGAAGAUGGGAAAUGUAGAAACACGAUCGCUGAUAAAGCUGAGCUGGGUCCAGUUUUAGAGACCUUCAUGAGUGCAAGUGAUGGAGAAAGGUUUGAGAUAGUUCACUUCUUCUCUGAAUUGGUCAAAUUAAACAGGAGGACAUUCAAUGAGCAAGUUCUCCACAUUAUUAAGGAUGAAGGUGCUUUUAGCACAAUGCACAGCCUUCUUAAUUAUUUACAGACAGCUCUUCAAGAUCAAUGUCCUGUUGUUGCUGGUCUCUUACUCCAACUUGAUCUUCUGGUUGAGCCAAGAAAGAUGAGCAUAUACCGAGAAGAGGCAAUAGAUAAUCUUAUUUCAUGCCUGGGAAAGUAUGAAUUUCCUGUUGCUCAAAUAGCUGCAGCACAUACAAUUAUGUCUUUGCAAGGAAGGUUUACUGCCUCAGGAAAGUCUCUUGGUCGAGCUUUUCUUCUUAAACGUGCUGGACAUAGCAAAAGUUACAGAUAUCUUAUGCGCAUGGAUCAGCUUGGCAACUUGUCUGGAGAAAUUGAAGAAACAUUGGAAGAAGAGAGGGCGGCUGAAGAGUGGGAAAGAAAAAUGGCCUUCGCUCUAGUAAGCCAUGAGUUUGGUUUAGUCUUUGAGGCUUUAGCAGAAGGAUUGAAGAGCAGAAACGCAGAGUUAUGCUCAGCGUGCUUUGUGUCAGCAACAUGGCUAGUAUACAUGCUUGGUGUUCUUCCUGACACAGGGAUACGAGGAGCAGCCCGAGUUUGCCUGCUCAAGCGCUUUGUUACAAUUUUUAAGUCUGCAAAGGACACUGAAGACAGAGUCCUUUCAUUGCUUGCUCUAAAAAGCUUCAUAAAUGACCCUGAGGGGCUGCGGGACCUCACUUCCUACGUGAAGGAUAUUAAGAAAGGUCUCAGAGAGCUUAAGAAAUCCUCUCCCUUGGCACUUGAAGUUCUGAAAGUUCUCUCCGAGGGGCAUGAAUCCAGUGCUGAAUUCUGGAAUCAUGAAGAAUUAACUCAAGUAGAUUGCAGUGAUAAUGGAGAAGUGCUUUCUAUCACUUGUUUCAAAGACAAGAUAUUUUCUGGCCAUUCUGAUGGAACUAUAAAGGUUUGGACUGGCAGAGGCAGCAUUCUUCAACUCAUCCAAGAAAUUCGAGAACAUACCAAGGCAGUCACCAGCUUGGUAGUUUUACAUUCCGGAGAUAGCUUAUAUAGUGGUUCACUUGAUAGAACUGCAAGGGUUUGGUCCAUUGGCAAUGAAGCACUGCAUUGUGUAAAAGUACAUGAUAUGAAGGACCAGGUUCAUAAUCUAGUGGUGGCAAAUAGCAUUUCCUGCUUCAUUCCACAAGGAGCCGGAGUCAAGGUUCACUCAUGGAAUGGAGGAUUCAAAUUUUUGAAUUCGAAUAAAUAUGUCAAGUGUUUAUCUCUGGUACAAGGGAAACUAUACUGUGGAUGUCAUGAUAGUAGUAUUCAGGAAAUUGAUUUGGCAACAGUAACAUCUGUAACCAUUCAAAAUGGAUCAAGAAAAUUACUAGGAAAAGCAAAUCCCAUACAUGCUCUGCAUGUUCGUGAUGGACUGAUAUAUUCAGCAAGCUCAGCUUUAGAUGGAGCAGCUGUGAAGAUUUGGAGUGCUUCAACUUAUGGUCUAGUAGGCUCAGUUCCAACUACAUUGGAAGUAAGGGCUAUGGCAAUAAGCUCAGAGCUCAUUUAUUUAGGAUCCAAAGGAGGAACAGUGGAAAUUUGGGAUCAGAAAAAGCAAAACAGAAUCGAAACUCUGCAAACCGGCACAGAUGGUAGGGUUCUUUGUAUAGCCCUUGAUGGUAAUGAAGAAGUGUUGGUAAUUGGAACUUCAGACGGCCGGAUUCAGGCUUGGGGAUUGAGCUAGAAAUGGAGGAUGCUGUAAAUUUUUCUUGACAUAAUUUCUUUAGAGCACAUGAGUGCUUAAUUAUUUGAAUUGAAAUUCAUUUUGCACCCUUCAAAUAACCAACUUCAUUUCAGAUUUAUUCUUGAAAUGUAUAUAGCUG
rnacentral:misc_RNA from 1 species